AAAUGACUUGGACAAGUUUUUGAAUAAGUUAGAGAGUGAUUGGGGGGUUAAAAGCAAGAAAGUGCAUUGAACUGGUGAAAUUCAGUUUUUUCGGCUUCGUGUACCGGUACAGCCACUAUGGUGUACCGGUACACAGUGGCAAUAUGCGGCAGCAAGGCUACUUUGGAUUUUCUCUCACUAAGUUGAAGACGUCGUUUUGCGCCGGUUUUGCGUCGCGCUCGUCGCUCGCUGGUUGAGUGGACUAGGGGACAGCUUUUAAAAGAGUUUGUUAUGGUUUCCUGCAGCUAGACAGGAGGUAUCUAGCUGUGAUUUACCCACUUUGAUCCAGGGAAAAGUUGCUUUGAGGCUUGAUACAGGUUUUUAGUCAACUAAUGAGGCUAUUUCGGAUCUAUAUGCGAUUUGUUGGAACAACUUGACGCAGUUUGGGAGUGCUUCUUCGCAGCAGAUUUUCGAAGUUAAUUGAGCUUAUUUGGUGACCUUGGGGACUGGUUUAGAAGG